rnacentral:rRNA from 1 species
UACGGAGGGGGCAAGCGUUGUUCGGAAUUACUGGGCGUAAAGGGCGCGUAGGCGGGUGGACAAGUUUCUCGUGAAAGCCCACGGCUCAACCGUGGAAUUGCGGGAGAUACUGUCUGUCUUGAGUCCGGGAGAGGAGGGUGGAAUUCCCAGUGUAGCGGUGAAAUGCGUAGAUAUUGGGAGGAACACCGGUGGCGAGGGCGGCUCUCUGGACCGGUACUGACGCUGAGGCGCGAAAGCUAGGGGAGCAAACGGG